rnacentral:rRNA from 1 species
AUUGAACGCCGGCGGCAGGCCUAACACAUGCAAGUCGAGCGGAUGAAGGGAGCUUGCUCCUGGAUUCAGCGGCGGACGGGUGAGUAAUGCCUAGGAAUCUGCCUGGUAGUGGGGGAUAACGUCCGGAAACGGGCGCUAAUACCGCAUACGUCCUGAGGGAGAAAGUGGGGGAUCUUCGGACCUCACGCUAUCAGAUGAGCCUAGGUGGGAUUAGCUAGUUGGUGGGGUAAGGGCCUACCAAGGCGACGAUCCGUAACUGGUCUGAGAGGAUGAUCAGUCACCUUGGAACUGGGACACGGUCCAGACUCCUACGGGAGGCAGCAGUGGGGAAUAUUGGGCAAUGGGCGAAAGCCUGAUCCAGCCAUGGGGCGUGUGUGAAGAAGGUCUUCGGAGUGGAAAGCACGUUAAGUUGGGAGGAAGGGCAGUAAGUUGAUACGUUGCUGUUUUGACGUUACCAACAGAAGAAGCACCGGCUAACUUCGUG